AUCCGAUGGAUCCGAAGGAUCCGAAGGAUCCGAUGGAUCCAAUGGAUAUCUAUUUAUCCAUCGGAUCCUUUGGAUCCUUUGGAUCCAUCGGA
rnacentral:miRNA from 1 species